GACGAACGCUGGCGGCGUGCCUAAUACAUGCAAGUUGAGCGCUGAAGGUUGGUACUUGUACCAACUGGAUGAGCAGCGAACGGGUGAGUAACGCGUGGGGAAUCUGCCUUUGAGCGGGGGACAACAUUUGGAAACGAAUGCUAAUACCGCAUAAAAACUUUAAACACAAGUUUUAAGUUUGAAAGAUGCAAUUGCAUCACUCAAAGAUGAUCCCGCGUUGUAUUAGCUAGUUGGUGAGGUAAAGGCUCACCAAGGCGAUGAUACAUAGCCGUCCUGAGAGGGUGAUCGGCCCCAUUGGGACUGAGACACGGCCCAAACUCCUACGGGAGGCAGCAGGAGGGAAUCUUCGGCAAUGGACGAAAGUCUGACCGAGAAACGCCGCGUGAGUGAAGAAGGUUUUCGGAUCGUAAAACUCUGUUGGUAGAGAAGAACGUUGGUGAGAGUGGAAAGCUCAUCAAGUGACGGUAACUACCCAGAAAGGGACGGCUAACUACGUG
rnacentral:rRNA from 1 species